rnacentral:rRNA from 1 species
CAGUGAAGUGCCUGGACAGAACUCUAAAUGCAAGAUCAUUCACUAGAAGCGCUCUCCUUCUGUCUAGGCGUACUCGUACUAAACUAACUAAAGUGGGGGAUAGUGAGGGGAUAAAUUUUCUUAAGGAACUCGGCAAAAUCUCAAUGGCCCAUCAGGGGGUAUUGGAACACGGGCCUCGACUGUUUACCAAAGACAUAGCCGUCGGGCAAUAUGAAGGUAGAUGUAUAGAGGGUGAUGCUUGCUCAAUGGUUGUAUCUAAAAGCGGUUGAUAAAAGUCGACCUCGUAAGGACAAUUGAAUGGCCGCGGUAACUACUGACCGUGAUAAUGUACCGUAGUCGAUAAGCCACUUAAUUGUUGGCCAGUAUGAAUGUCGUCACGAAGGCCGGGGUGUUUUAAGGAAAUUUCCAGUGAACAUUGAAUUUUUAGUGAGGUUGCUACGUCCAAUUUGUUAGACGAAAAGACCCCGUUGAGCUUUACUGGGGCACUUACACGGCCCCGGCCUUCCGGUGUCCGGGUACCGGCUGAAUUUUCAUGGGUGGUUUAGACUUUCGUGGCAGCCCCCGGCCGGGGCAGAUGAAACCCCACUCCCCCAUGUCAAAGGGGCUAACCCCCUCUUGGGGGGGAGAGUGUAAGUAGUUCAGUUUGGUUGGGGCGACCCCCUUUUAAAGAGUAACGAAUUGUGCGCUUUUUAGGUGCGCACUUAAUUACUGAAGCCUGCUUUUGCGAGGGGUACAACC